rnacentral:rRNA from 1 species
UACGGAGGAUGCGAGCGUUAUCCGGAUUUACUGGGUGUAAAGGGAGCGUAGGUGGAUUGUUAAGUCAGUUGUGAAAGUUUGCGGCUCAACCGUAAAAUUGCAGUUGAAACUGGCAGUCUUGAGUACAGUAGAGGUGGGCGGAAUUCGUGGUGUAGCGGUGAAAUGCUUAGAUAUCACGAAGAACUCCGAUUGCGAAGGCAGCAUGCCGGCUCCACACUGACGCUGAGGCACGAAGGCCAGGGGAGCGAAAGGG